rnacentral:rRNA from 1 species
GUAGGGAAUAUUGGACAAUGGGGGAAACCCUGACCCAGCAACGCCGCGUGAGGGAAGAAGGCCUAACGGUUGUAAACCUCUGUCAUAUGGGAAGAAGGAAUGACAGUACCAUAUGAGGAAGCUCCGGCUAACUACGUGCCAGCAGCCGCGGUAAUACGUAGGGAGCAAGCGUUGUCCGGAAUUACUGGGCGUAAAGGGUGCGUAGGCGGCAUGUUAAGUUAGAUGUCAAAUACCCGGGCUUAACCCGGGGACGCAUCUAAAACUGGCGUGCUUGAGUGCAGGAGAGGAAAGCGGAAUUCCUAGUGUAGCGGUGGAAUGCGUAGAUAUUAGGAGGAACACCGGAGGCGAAGGCGGCUUACUGGACAAUAACUGACGUUGAGGCUCGAAAGCGUGGGAAGCAAACAGGAUUAGAAACCCCUGUAGUCC